GUGGGGAAUUUUGGACAAUGGGCGCAAGCCUGAUCCAGCAAUGCCGCGUGCAGGAAGAAGGCCUUCGGGUUGUAAACUGCUUUUGUACGGAACGAAACGGUCCUGGCUAAUAUCCGGGGCUAAUGACGGUACCGUAAGAAUAAGCACCGGCUAACUACGUGCCAGCAGCCGCGGUAAUACGUAGGGUGCGAGCGUUAAUCGGAAUUACUGGGCGUAAAGCGUGCGCAGGCGGUGCUGUAAGACAGGCGUGAAAUCUCCGGGCUCAACCUGGGAAUUGCGCUUGUGACUGCAGUGCUGGAGUGCGGCAGAGGGGGAUGGAAUUCCGCGUGUAGCAGUGAAAUGCGUAGAUAUGCGGAGGAACACCGAUGGCGAAGGCAAUCCCCUGGGCCUGCACUGACGCUCAUGCACGAAAGCGUGGGGAGCAAACAGGAUUAGAAACCCUGGUAGUCC
rnacentral:rRNA from 1 species